GUGGGGAAUAUUGGUCAAUGGGGGAAACCCUGAACCAGCAACGCCGCGUGAAGGAAGAAGGCUUUCGGGUUGUAAACUUCUUUGACAGGGGACGAAAAAAAUGACGGUACCCUGAAAACAAGCCACGGCUAACUACGUGCCAGCAGCCGCGGUAAUACGUAGGUGGCGAGCGUUGUCCGGAUUUACUGGGUGUAAAGGGCGUGUAGGCGGGACGGUAAGUCAGAUGUGAAAUGUAGGGGCUCAACCCCUGAACUGCAUUUGAAACUAUCGUUCUUGAGUGAUGGAGAGGCAGGCGGAAUUCCGUGUGUAGCGGUGAAAUGCGUAGAUAUACGGAGGAACACCAGUGGCGAAGGCGGCCUGCUGGACAUUAACUGACGCUGAGGCGCGAAAGCGUGGGGAGCAAACAGGAUUAGAUACCCUAGUAGUCC
rnacentral:rRNA from 1 species